rnacentral:misc_RNA from 1 species
GAACGCACAUUGCGCCCUCUGGUAUUCCGGGGGGCAUGCCUGUUCGAGCGUCAUUAUCACCCCUCAAGCCCGGCUUGUUGUUGGACGUCGGCGGCGGCCUUUAGUGGCGUACCGCCCGUCUCAAAGAUAAUGACGGCGUCUGUGAGGACACCUGUACACUGAGCUUUCGGGCACGUACUAGGCUGAUACUUGCAGACCCGGUCUUCGGGUUCGCUUCGGCGUCCCCAACUUUUUUACCAAGGUUGACCUCGGAUCAGGUAGGAAUACCCGCUGAACUUAAGC